rnacentral:rRNA from 1 species
AAUGAACGCUGGCGGCAGGCCUAACACAUGCAAGUCGAACGGAUCCUUCGGGAUUAGUGGCGGACGGGUGAGUAACGCGUGGGAACAUACCCUUUGGUACGGAAUAGCCUCGGGAAACUGGGAGUAAUACCGUAUGUGGUCGAGAGACGAAAGAUUUAUCGCCAAAGGAUUGGCCCGCGUUGGAUUAGGUAGUUGGUGGGGUAAUGGCCUACCAAGCCGACGAUCCAUAGCUGGUUUGAGAGGAUGAUCAGCCACACUGGGACUGAGACACGGCCCAGACUCCUACGGGAGGCAGCAGUGGGGAAUCUUAGACAAUGGUGGAAACUCUGAUCUAGCCAUGCCGCGUGAUCGAUGAAGGCCUUAGGGUUGUAAAGAUCUUUCAGGUGGGAAGAUAAUGACUGUACCACCAGAAGAAGCCCCGGCUAACUCCGUGCCAGCCGCCGCAGUAA